UACGUAGGGGGCAAGCGUUGUCCGGAAUUAUUGGGCGUAAAGCGCGCGCAGGCGGCUACUUAAGUCUCAUGUUUAAAGCCAAGGCUCAACCUUGGAUCGCAUGGGAAACUGGGUGGCUUGAGUGUAGGAGAGGAAAGUGGAAUUCCACGUGUAGCGGUGAAAUGCGUAGAUAUGUGGAGGAACACCAGUGGCGGAGGCGACUUUCUGGCCUAUAACUGACGCUGAGGCGCGAAAGCGUGGGGAGCAAACAGG
rnacentral:rRNA from 1 species